rnacentral:misc_RNA from 1 species
UUGGCAAAAAUGAGUAAUUUGCUACCCCACCCUAACUUGGAAAGACAACAACUUCUCACAAGUCAGCAAGUGAAUCAUUAAGGGUAGAGAAAGGGAUUGUUUUGCAAGAUACAUACGCCUUCCCCAUUUGAGUAUAUGCAAAACAAGGAUUUUAUCAAAUCCUAUUGGAAAAACAUUACCUAGUACCAUAUACAUUCAUGUCUAACUUGACAAUAACUGCCUUAGUUUGGAACUACAAUAUUUAU